CUGAGAAAUUAAUUAUGUAUAUUUCUACUUUUUUUCCUAGGCUAGGGCCCAUGUAGUGUGCGGGGGUGACCAGAAUCUCAGUACCAUGUGACUAACCCCUCCCCUUCCCCUCCUCUCCUCAGUGUCCUUUUGUCCUUGCUUUCCCCCCCCCCCCUCUCAGCGUCACUGUGUUGACCACUUCUAUAACAAAUUUACCCCGUGAAUAAACGUAAUUUCUCCUGCUUGGCCAGGUUAUAGAGGCGAAUUUUUCACCUAAUCCCAGAGAAUGGGGAGCCCUUAAUAUGAUAAAAUUAAUUCUAUAAUGGUAAGGUCUUAAACCAGCCCAAACAAAUCCCAGAUAAUUACGCCGCGCCAAUGAGGUUGACGAAUCUGAUAAGUCUUCUUUGCUUCGCUGCCUUGUCACCCCUGUUGCUACGCAAGCCGGGAAGAGAUACCAGACUUUGACUAAUUCCCCAAUUGAUUUCAAAAGUCCACUGAAUUAAACUUCUUAAAGUAACAACUAUAAAGUAAACAGUAACUUAAUUAUUCAUAUUUUUCAUCCCUGAACUCACAACCUAGUCGCCCCCCCCCCCCACUAAAAACAAAAUUAUAACUUAAUAAAUUUCCCCAUUGGAAACCUUUAUCCUUAGUUUCCCGCCGAUUUCCUCACAAGCAAAGCCAGUCUCUCUCGGAUUCUCCUCAGACCCUCUUGGAUUCCCCUCAGAUAUUCCUGUUGAUAAACUAUUUCUGAGUGGAUAGAUAUUCGCAUUUUUUCGUUCUUUUUUUGUUGGUUUUCUCCACGGGACUAGUGAAACCA